AUUGAACGCUGGCGGCAUGCCUUACACAUGCAAGUCGAACGGCAGCACGGGAGCAAUCCUGGUGGCGAGUGGCGAACGGGUGAGUAAUAUAUCGGAACGUGCCCAGUCGUGGGGGAUAACGUAGCGAAAGCUACGCUAAUACCGCAUACGAUCUAUGGAUGAAAGCGGGGGAUCGCAAGACCUCGCGCGAUUGGAGCGGCCGAUAUCAGAUUAGGUAGUUGGUGAGGUAAAGGCUCACCAAGCCGACGAUCUGUAGCUGGUCUGAGAGGACGACCAGCCACACUGGGACUGAGACACGGCCCAGACUCCUACGGGAGGCAGCAGUGGGGGAAUUUUUGGACAAUGGGCGCAAGCCUGAUCCAGCAAUGCCGCGUGCAGGAUGAAGGCCUCGGUUGUAACUAGCUUUGUACGGUAACGAAACGGUAGAGCUCUAAUACAGUUGCUAAUGACGUACCGUAAGAAUAAG
rnacentral:rRNA from 1 species